CCGAGUUUACAACUCCCAAACCCAAUGUGAACGUUACCAAACUGUUGCCUCGGCGGGAUCUCUGCCCCGGGUGCGUCGCAGCCCCGGACCAAGGCGCCCGCCGGAGGACCAACCAAAACUCUUAUUGUAUACCCCCUCGCGGGUUUUUUUUAUAAUCUGAGCCUUCUCGGCGCCUCUCGUAGGCGUUUCGAAAAUGAAUCA
rnacentral:misc_RNA from 1 species